rnacentral:lncRNA from 1 species
CCUACCACAUGAAUUUAUUCAACAGUUUAAAACUAUUAUCUACAAUUUUAUAUGGGAUGGUAAACGAGAAAAGGUCAAACGAACCACCCUUAGCAAAAAUACUACUGAGGGAGGGCUUAAAAUGACAGAUAUAGACAAUUAUAUAACUGCACUACAAAUAGCAUGGAUAAAAAGACUUACUGCAGAUGAUUUUGCUAACUGGAAAGUAAUUCCGACAUUUUACUUU